rnacentral:rRNA from 1 species
AUUGAACGCUGGCGGCAGGCCUAACACAUGCAAGUCGAGCGGAUGAAGGGAGCUUGCUCUCUGAUUCAGCGGCGGACGGGUGAGUAAUGCCUAGGAAUCUGCCUGAUAGUGGGGGACAACGUUUCGAAAGGAACGCCAAUACCGCAUACGUCCUACGGGAGAAAGCAGGGGACCUUCGGGUCUUGCGCUAUCAGAUGAGCCUAGGUCGGAUUAGCUAGUUGGUGAGGUAACGGCUCACCAAGGCGACGAUCCGUAACUGGUCUGAGAGGAUGAUCAGUCACACUGGAACUGAGACACGGUCCAGACUCCUACGGGAGGCAGCAGUGGGGAAUAUUGGACAAUGGGCGAAAGCCUGAUCCAGCCAUGCCGCGUGUGUGAAGAAGGUCUUCGGAUUGUAAAGCACUUUAAGUUGGGAGGAAGGGCAUUAACCUAAUACGUUAGUGUUUUGACGUUACCGACAGAAUAAGCACCGGCUAACUUCGUGCCAGCAGCCGCGGUAAUACGAAGGGUGCAAGCGUUAAUCGGAAUUACUGGGCGUAAAGCGCGCGUAGGUGGUUUGUUAAGUUGAAUGUGAAAGCCCCGGGCUCAACCUGGGAACUGCAUCCAAAACUGGCAAGCUAGAGUAUGGCAGAGGGUGGUGGAAUUUCCUGUGUAGCGGUGAAAUGCGUAGAUAUAGGAAGGAACACCAGUGGCGAAGGCGACCACCUGGGCUAAUACUGACACUGAGGUGCGAAAGCGUGGGGAGCAAACAGGAUUAGAUACCCUGGUAGUCCACGCCGUAAACGAUGUCGACUAGCCGUUGGGAUCCUUGAGAUCUUAGUGGCGCAGCUAACGCAUUAAGUCGACCGCCUGGGGAGUACGGCCGCAAGGUUAA